GUUGAUCCAAUGUUUUUCAAGAAAAUAGAAGUGUAAACAUCAGAACGAAGUCAAUAAAUUUUGAAAGUCUAGUAUAGCUAGUAGAUUUAGAAUACCUAUGCUUCCACCAUCAACUCCACUUUCUAUAAUGAUCCAUUGCUUAAUAGGUCUAUCUAUUCCUAUCAUCCCUAAUACUCCAUCACUUAAUUAUACCCCAGUUCAUCAAACUUACCGCACAUUGGAAGUUUAGGACUUGCCACAAUAAUUUGAGUUUAAGAACUUAUCCUAGUCAGACCAUAGGCGUCCAUUCGCUGAGGGGUUCAUAACAUACCAUAUUAUUAUGAGUCACGAACUUACCAUAUGCAUUAGUUUUAAGAACCGUACCUAAUCCUUAUAAUAUCUAACUAAUCUUAAU
rnacentral:lncRNA from 1 species